ensembl:lncRNA
CAAACCCAAUCAAUUUCACUGAGGCUGUAACAGAGAAGCCAAUUGCUUAAGUGUUCAGAUAUUCUGAUUGGAGUCCCAGGUGACCGGUGCUGUCAGUAAUGAGAUAUAAUAAGUGCAGCCCUGGGAGACUUCUGUUCACAUAAUGCCUGGGGAGCCAAGAGUUGCGAUGGCAUUUGAAAUCUAAUUGGAAAUACUUUUGUAGUGAAUAAAGGGGGACACAAGGCGCUCUUUCCUUGCGUGGCAUAAUGAAGUGUAACAAAACUAUUUAAAACAGCAGCGGCGUGGCAGGUAUAAGUCAUCAGCGAGGCUGCUUUUUAAAACCUCGCUGUUUAAAAAACGAGUUUGGACAUUUUUCGACACUCUCGGGCGUCGUGAUUAAUUUUAAUUCCAAUUUACACGAGGAGUUAAUUGGGGUUAAGGAAUGACAUUUACCUUAUUUCUGUCAUGAACAGUAUGCAAUGAGAAAGCAAUCAGCGCUGACCUCUGACAGGCAUCCACGUAUCGACAUUAAUGUGAGCAAUGAACAUGAAGCUGUGGGAUUUUUGGGAGCAAAGCCAGAUCCUUUUGUUGUUGUUUUUUUUUUUUUUGUUUUUUUUUUUAUACUGAGCCAAGCAGAGGGACUGAUCGUCUCUCUCAGAAGCAGGAAACUUUCCAAAAUCUUCAGUGAUUUCUUUUCACAUAAUAAAGGGUUCUGUUCCAGGAAGACAGCUUAUGUCUUUUUAAGUGAUUAAGUAUUUAUUUGUACCUUUAGACCUCUAUCCACAGCACAUACACAAAUGCAGCUGGUCGGUGCUUCUUAUCCAUAGCCUAUAAGCAGAUCCCAUCACCCCAAAAUGGGUUAUUGCAGGUUGCGGCCCCUCCCUGUGACUGGUUUUGUAAAAGAGACUUUUUGUUCCUCACCACUGCCAAGUGCUUGCUCGUGUGAUCAUUAAGCUUCUUUCUCUAAAGAAGCACCUUGAGGACUGCUGUAAACCGGUGCUAUAUAUAAACAGCACUGAAUUAGACUAAAUGUUAUAUAAACACAUAAUAUGCAGAUGCAUUUGUGCAUCUUUGCAGAUUAAUGCUGAAUAACUCAAGCUUCAGAUGUGCUACUAGCAGGCUAAAAUAGGCUGCACAUACAGACCGACGUGGAUCAAGUAGCAUGAUUGCAAAAC